ACGCGAAAGAAGCCUUCGGGUUUCAAGUAGAGUGGCGUCCGGGUGAGUAACACGUAGGUAAUCUACCUUCGGGUGGGGAAUAACGCAGGGAAACUUGCGCUAAUACCGCAUAAUGCAGCGGCACCACAUGGUGACAGUUGUUAAAGCGGGGGAUUUUCGAACCUCGCGCCUGAAGAGGAGCCUGCGGCAGAUUAGCUAGUUGGUAGGGUAAUGGCUUACCAAGGCGACGAUCUGUAACCGGCCUGAGAGGGCGGUCGGUCACACUGACACUGACAUACGGGUCAGACUCCUACGGGAGGCAGCAGUCGGGAAUUUUGGGCAAUGGGCGAAAGCCUGACCCAGCAACGCCGCGUGAAGGAUGAAAUCCUUCGGGAUGUAAACUUCGCAAGAAUGGGAAGAAUAGACGAGUACUAAUACUGCUCGUGAUGACGGUACCAUUUGUAAGCUCCGGCUAACUCCGUGCCAGCAGCCGCGGUAAUACGGGGGGAGCAAGCGUUGUUCGGAUUUACUGGGCGUAAAGGGCGCGUAGGCGGCCAGCACAAGUCAGUUGUGAAAUCUCCGGGCUUAACUCGGAAAGGUCAACUGAUACUGUGCGGCUAGAGUGCAGAAGGGGCAACUGGAAUUCUCGGUGUAGCGGUGAAAUGCGUAGAUAUCGAGAGGAACACCUGCGGCGAAGGCGGGUUGCUGGGCUGACACUGACGCUGAGUGCGCGAAAGCCAGGGGAGCGAACGGGA
rnacentral:rRNA from 1 species